CGGCGAGUGAAGCGGCAACAGCUCAAAUUUGAAAUCUGGCCCUCGGGUCCGAGUUGUAAUUUGUAGAGGAUGCUUUUGGUGCGGUGCCUUCCGAGUUCCCUGGAACGGGACGCCAUAGAGGGUGAGAGCCCCGUCUGGUUGGACACCAAGCCUCUGUAAAGCUCCUUCGACGAGUCGAGUAGUUUGGGAAUGCUGCUCUAAAUGGGAGGUAUAUGUCUUCUAAAGCUAAAUAUCGGCCAGAGACCGAUAGCGCACAAGUAGAGUGAUCGAAAGAUGAAAAGCACUUUGAAAAGAGGGUUAAAUAGUACGUGAAAUUGUUGAAAGGGAAGCGCUUGUGACCAGACUUGAGCCCGGUUAAUCAUCCAGCCUUCUGGCUGGUGCACUUGGCCGGCUCAGGCCAGCAUCAGUUCGGCGUGGGGGAUAAAGGUUUCGGGAAUGUGGCUCCUCCGGGAGUGUUAUAGCCCGUUGCGUAAUACCCUGUACUGGACUGAGGUUCGCGCAUCUGCAAGGAUGCUGGCGUAAUGGUCAUCAGCGACCCGUCUUGAAACACGGACCAAGGAGUCGUCUUCGUAUGCGAGUGUUCGGGUGUCAAACCCCUACGCGUAAUGAAAGUGAACGCAGGUGAGAGCUUCGGCGCAUCAUCGACCGAUCCUGAUGUUCUCGGACGGAUUUGAGUAAGAGCAUACGGGGCCGGACCCGAAAGAAGGUGAACUAUGCCUGUAUAGGGUGAAGCCAGAGGAAACUCUGGUGGAGGCUCGCAGCGGUUCUGACGUGCAAAUCGAUCGUCAAAUAU
rnacentral:rRNA from 1 species